AACUACAAAAAAUAUUCCUUUCAAAUCUUUCAGAUAUAAACUCGUGUUUGAAAAAAAUUGCCAGCAUGUUAAAGAAGGAUCACAAGUGAGGACGAUAAAGUUGAUAAUUACGUGCUAUUAUUACCUGCAAGAGUUUUAAACAUCGUUUUCUUUGAACAUAAAACAUUAUUUUGAUGCAACCUUUCUACCUAUCUCUUCUGCGCCUUCCUUCAGCAGGUUGAUUAAUUUAUUAUAACCUAAGCUGUGUUUUAUUUGGUUUGAUAACUUCAUUUAGAGCCAAUAAAAUAUACAAUGUUGUAUAAAGUAUUUUUGUUGUAGAAGUAUUAUACAGGUAUUAUACACAAUAUGUCAACAUGAACAAGAAUAACAAAGGAAAUCAACUCUCAUUUUCUUGUGUCGUAUACUUCCUAACCAGAUAGAGUUCUCACCCAAUCAACCUAAAACUUAGAUUUAUUAGUGCUCAAGAUUUGACAUCAUUUGCUUGCUUGCGGUCAGUAAUUGUUCUCAAUUGGAUCGAAAACAACACGUUCAAAGUGCACCAGAGUGGGAACUCAAACUAGUUGAACACAAACGCAACUCGCUAUAGACACUCCGUCUCUGUUUAAACGUAAUACUCAUAUUGUGAGCAUAUAACACCUUGACUUUUAGCAGAUGAUGAUUGUUUUUUCGAGACAACAGAGUGGAAUGGUCAAAUCAAAUCACCCAAUAAUCCCACUUAUAAAUCGGGCUUAAAUUGUAAAUGGCAUAUUAAAGUCGCACUGGGAAAUGUCAUUGAACUUACGUUUGCAGAUUUUGCAAUGAGCAGUUACGCUGAUAAAAAUAAAUACGAAACCAAUUGUAGCGAUGCAACGGAUUUUACUGAAAUAUAUGAUGGUAACACAACUUCGAGUCGACUCCUUCAAAAAUUAUGUGGCUGGAGAAAAAGAACUAACUUGUUAACGACACAGAAUAACGUACUGAUUCAUAUGAAAACUGUAGAGAAAAAACAUCGUGGCUUCUUGUUAGAGGUAAGUAGUGUUUGUGAUCAACCUCGUUUCCAAGGCUUUUUCUUUUUUGACACUGAGGCAAAACCAUAGCGGUUCUAGCAUCAAGCAAAAACCCUGGAAACGAGGUUGUGUUUGUAGAUGAUGUGUAUAUUUUUACAUGGCUAGCCUUAUGUCUAUUAUUUUCUGCAGGGGCCUUGGCUUAGAUGGGGGAGUCUUAGAGCACUUAAUGCUUAUUUUGAGUUACGCAGACCCAAUUAAGAUCUGCGCUCUACCAGGCAAUUCCCUGCAAUAUCCAACGGCCCACACAGUGCCUUCUCCCCAAUUUCCCUCACAUGGCUUGAGCGUUCACUCCGCCGCUAAGGAUGAUGUGAUAAAGAUGUGAUAAAAGAUGUGAUAAAAGUCAAAACCAGCAACCUUUUUAUCAAAAUUCUAAAUCGUUUUAGGUGUGUGCAACACUAAAAUGACCAAACGAAGUGAUGUAAUUCAAUCACCAAAUUAUCCGGAUUUGUAUCCACGAGCUAUUACUUGUUCUUGGGUGAUUGAUUUUGUUAUGGUAUGGAUGUCACGUUGCAGUUUCCAAAAUUUGACAUUGAAUACCAACUUAACUGUACUUAUGAUUAUGUGACACUUCAUCAAGGUCUUAACAUCGCUUCACCAAUGCUAGGCAAAAGGUACUGUGAACUGAAAUCACCACCCUCGAUCACAUUUACCGGGCCGCUAACACUCAGUUUUGUCUCUGAUAUAGACACGGAAUACACUGGUUUCGUUGCAAAAUAUUUUACGAAAGGUUAGAAAAAAUUACUAUAUAUUGUCAAAUAUACACCAUGACUGUCUUCACUAAGUUUUGUUAUUUUAUUUUAGAUCGUAACAAAUGCAUUCUUUGACAUUAAUGUCAUACAAAUGCCGUAUGUGAAAAUACGAUUGGUUCUUAUAUAUGCACGUGCAAGCCAAGUUUCCGUGGUGAUGGUAGAUCAUGUGAAUGGUAUAAAGGUACGUGAGUUGAUUAAAAAUAUACUUGUAACUAUUAUCUGUAUAUCUAAAAUAUAUAU